CUACGGACUUAAUUGGAUUGAGCCUUGGUAUGGAAACUUACUAAGUGAUAACUUUCAAAUUCAGAGAAACCCUGGAAUUAAUAAAAAUGGGCAAUCCUGAGCCAAAUCACGUUUUCCGAAAACAAACAAAGGUUCAGAAAGCGAAAAUAAAAAAGGAUAGGUGCAGAGACUCGAUGGAAGCUGUUCUAACGAAUGGAGUUGAUUGUCUUACAUUGGUAGAGGAAUCCUUCUAUCGAAACUUCAGAAAAGAGGAAGGAUAAACCUGUAUACAUAGAAGAAUUGGUAUGAAUCGAUUCCAUAUUGAAGAAAGAAUCAAAUAUUCAUUGAUCAAAGCAUUCACGCAUAAUCUGAUAGAUCUUUUGAAUAACUGAUGAAAUCGGACGAGAAUAAAGAUAGAGUCCCGUUCUACAUGUCAAUACCGGCAACAAUGAAAUUUAUAGUAAGAGGAAAAUCCGUCGAUUUCAAAAAUCAUGAGGGUUCAAGUCCCUCUAUCCCCAAUUUUCCGCCCUAAUUAUUUCUCGUAUCCUUUUUAUUUAUUUUAUCCUUUUUUCGUUAGCGGUUUAAAAGUACUUAUCUUUCUCAUUCACUACUCUUUAUACAAAUGGAUCUGAGCGGAAAUGUAUCACAUGUCACAUGUGACAUAUAUGAUACAUGUACAAAUGAACAUCUUUGAGCAAGGAAUCCCCAUUUGAAUGAUUCACGAUCGAUAUUUUGAUUCAUAUUGAAACUUAAAAAGUUGUUCUUUUGGUAAAUUCUAGGACCUGGCUGAGGCUUUGUAAUACCCGUUCAAUUGACAUAUACCCACGUUCUCUAGUAAAAUGAAAAUGAGGAUGAGACAUCAGGAAUAGUCGGGAUAGCUCAGUUGGUAGAGCAGAGGACUGAAAAUCCUCGUGUCACCGGUUCAAAUCUGGUUCCUGACA
rnacentral:lncRNA from 1 species